GGACCAAUUAAUGCUUCCCCCCCCCCCCCCAUAGAGCUCCCAGUUCUGCUUCCUAAUAUCUUUGAAACAUGGAAGGAAUGUAUAGUCCCUAUAGUUCUCCAGUGACUGGAGGGACUGUGAGGCAGCAAGCUGGGACCCAGAAGCUUUUCAUUAACCAAACAAACAGCUUCUGGUCACUUGAUUAAGUCUACUGCUACCUACAAUCUAGUCAGUGAGCAUACAAGUCAGUUCUGCCACCAAGAUGCAGAUGCUACUAUGAUUGCAAUCUGACUUCCCUGGGCAGACAACCUCACCAAUGUGUUCCAAAGGCUCAUUUCUCCAGAGUCCUACCUCACUAGAGAAAGAUAGAGACAGGCUGGGGUAUGGGUUGGUCUGCCAAUGUCCAUGUCUACUGGAGAAGCAAUUGAAAAAGCCUGAUCUUUUACCUUCUGCACCCAACAAGAAUUUUGGUCCAUACUCUCACAGAGAUAAAGAAUAGAGAAGUCUCUAAUGGAGAGGAUGGGACACUGAACUCUGGUGGUGGGAACUAUGUGGAAUUAUACUCCAAUUACCUUAUAAUAUUUUAAAUUAUUACUAAACUCCUAAUAAUAAAAAAGAAGAGGGAAGGCUAGAUGGCAUGUUCAGUAGAGUGUGAUGUUACAGUGCAUAAGGACCUGGGUUUCUACCCCUGGCCCCCAUCUGCAGGCGGGAAGCUUCACAAGUGGUAAAGCAAUACUGCAGAUCUCUCUCUCCCUCUCUCUCUUUCAACCCUCCUUCUCAGUUUCUCUCUGCCUUUAUCCAAAAAUGAAUAAAAUAAAUAAAAUUUUAAUAAUAUAUAUA